AACGAGGCUAGAGUCACAUCCUGACAUUCCAGUUGUUUUGGUGUGCUAUAGUUCUCGAAGAGUGAAUACUACAUUUAUUCACUGGCUGGAGUUUCUUGUAGCAGUCAGUUACCAAGUUAGUGACACUG